rnacentral:rRNA from 1 species
AUACAGGGGGUGCGAGCGUUAAUCGGAAUUACUGGGCGUAAAGAGUACGUAGGCGGUUGCUUAAGUCAGAUGUGAAAGCCCCGGGCUCAACCUGGGAACUGCAUUUGAAACUGAGUGACUAGAGUUUAAGAGAGGGGAGUAGAAUUCCGGGUGUAGCGGUGAAAUGCGUAGAGAUCCGGAGGAAUACCAGUGGCGAAGGCGGCUCCCUGGCUUAAAACUGACGCUGAGGUGCGAAUGCGUGGGUAGCAAACGGGAUUAGAAACCCCAGUAGUCC